AUUGAACGCUGGCGGCAGGCCUAACACAUGCAAGUCGAACGGUAACAGGAAGAAGCUUGCUUCUUUGCUGACGAGUGGCGGACGGGUGAGUAAUGUCUGGGAAACUGCCUGAUGGAGGGGGAUAACUACUGGAAACGGUAGCUAAUACCGCAUAACGUCGCAAGACCAAAGAGGGGGACCUUCGGGCCUCUUGCCAUCGGAUGUGCCCAGAUGGGAUUAGCUAGUAGGCGGGGUAACGGCUCACCUAGGCGACGAUCCCUAGCUGGUCUGAGAGGAUGACCAGCCACACUGGAACUGAGACACGGUCCAGACUCCUACGGGAGGCAGCAGUGGGGAAUAUUGCACAAUGGGCGCAAGCCUGAUGCAGCCAUGCCGCGUGUAUGAAGAAGGCCUUCGGGUUGUAAAGUACUUUCAGCGGGGAGGAAGGGAGUAAAGUUAAUACCUUUGCUCAUUGACGUUACCCGCAGAAGAAGCACCGGCUAACUCCGUG
rnacentral:rRNA from 1 species